UACGGGGGGGGCAAGCGUUGUUCGGAAUUACUGGGCGUAAAGGGCUCGUAGGCGGCCAACUAAGUCAGACGUGAAAUCCCGCGGCUCAACCGUGGAACUGCCUCAGAUACUGACGGUCUCGAGGGAGGUAGGGGCGAGCGGAACUGUGAGUGGAGCGGUGAAAUGCGUUGAUAUUCACAGGAACUCCGGUGGCGAAGGCGGCUCGCUGGACCUCUUCUGACGCUGAGGCGCGAAAGCCAGGGGAGCAAACGGG
rnacentral:rRNA from 1 species